rnacentral:tRNA from 1 species
AGCGAGUUGGGCGGGUCUGCCUCAGGCGUUAAACUGACAAAUACUAGUCUACGUAGACGCGUCUACAUAGCACUUCCGUUGGAAUCAUAAUCCGCGUGUCGGGGGUUCGAGUCCCUCCUCCGCUACCA